rnacentral:rRNA from 1 species
GGCGGCAUGCCUUACACAUGCAAGUCGAACGGCAGCACGGGAGUAAUCCUGGUGGCGAGUGGCGAACGGGUGAGUAAUACAUCGGAACGUGUCCUGUAGUGGGGGAUAGCCCGGCGAAAGCCGGAUUAAUACCGCAUACGAUCUACGGAAGAAAGCGGGGGAUCCUUCGGGACCUCGCGCUAUAGGGGCGGCCGAUGGCAGAUUAGCUAGUUGGUGGGGUAAAGGCCUACCAAGGCGACGAUCUGUAGCUGGUCUGAGAGGACGACCAGCCACACUGGGACUGAGACACGGCCCAGACUCCUACGGGAGGCAGCAGUGGGGAAUUUUGGACAAUGGGGGAAACCCUGAUCCAGCAAUGCCGCGUGUGUGAAGAAGGCCUUCGGGUUGUAAAGCACUUUUGUCCGGAAAGAAAACUUCUGCCCUAAUACGGUGGGAGGAUGACGGUACCGGAAGAAUAAGCACCGGCUAACUACGUGCCAGCAGCCGCGGUAAUACGU